GGCGGUUAGCUCAGUUGGGAGAGCAUCACGUUCGCAACGUGGGGGUCGGGGGUUCGAAUCCCCUACCGUCCAU
rnacentral:tRNA from 1 species